rfam:Myotis lucifugus cont2.50133, whole genome shotgun sequence.
GCCAGCGUGGCUCAGUGGUGGAGCAUCGACCUGUGAACUGGGAGGUCAGGGUUCGAUUCCCGGUUGGGGCA